rfam:Lepisosteus oculatus linkage group LG10, whole genome shotgun sequence.
GCCAGCAGCCAUAUCACCCUGCAACUCACAACUGACAACCCACUGAAACUAAGCAGGUGUGAGCCUGGUCAGUACCUGGAUGGGAGACCUCCUGGAAAAAACUAAGGUUGCUGCUAGAA